GAUGAACGCUGGCGGCGUGCCUAAUACAUGCAAGUCGAGCGAACGGACGAGAAGCUUGCUUUUCUGAUGUUAGCGGCGGACGGGUGAGUAACACGUGGAUAACCUACCUAUAAGACUGGGAUAACUUCGGGAAACCGGAGCUAAUACCGGAUAAUAUUUUGAACCGCAUGGUUCAAAAGUGAAAGACGGUCUUGCCGUCACUUAUAGAUGGAUCCGCGCUGCAUUAGCUAGUUGGUAAGGUAACGGCUUACCAAGGCAACGAUGCAUAGCCGACCUGAGAGGGUGAUCAGCCACACUGGAACUGAGACACGGUCCAGACUCCUACGGGAGGCAGCAGUAGGGAAUCUUCCGCAAUGGGCGAAAGCCUGACGGAGCAACGCCGCGUGAGUGAUGAAGGUCUUCGGAUCGUAAAACUCUGUUAUUAGGGAAGAACAUAUGUGUAAGUAACUGUGCACAUCUUGACGGUACCUAAUCAGAAAGCCACGGCUAACUACGUG
rnacentral:rRNA from 1 species